GUCAAAGUUCAGUUCCCUGAGAGUGUGUGAUGUUUAAUUUCCAUCACCAACUGGACUAGAUGUAUCUUCAUCCAGGAGACAAGCCUCUCGAAGCCCAUGAGACUUAGCUGAGGAAAGAAGAGCCAUCCUGAAUGGGCUUCCUGCUGUGCACACAGUGUGAAGAGCCACCUCAUGCUUCUAUGGACAUUUCCAAGGUCCCCCAAUUCACUGCUGGCCAUAGCUCAAGAUCUGUCCAAAACUCUACAGACCACUUCUAGGCUUCAGAAAGGAU